GCCCCCGUAGCUCAGGGGAUAGAGCAACGGCCUCCGGAGCCGUGUGCGCAGGUUCGAAUCCUGCCGGGGGCG
rnacentral:tRNA from 5 species